AUGAUCAUGCAAAACAUUCAUCAAGCUUUUAUUUGGAUGAUGCCUCCUCCUUCCCAAACCAGGGAAUGAAACAGCCUCCCUUUCAGGGCCCAUUUCCAAUCACAAGACUCUGGCCGUUUGAGUUUGAAUUCUCCUUUACUUUCCCCACAGUUUCGCGACCUGGCCACGUCGCCUGUCCAGGUGGACAUCCACGUGGACGUCCAGCUCUGCAAAGCCUCCCCUCUGUACGAAAUUAGCCUCAUCAUCUCUUCUCU
rnacentral:lncRNA from 1 species